rnacentral:lncRNA from 1 species
GCUCCCUUCCUUUUACCUCUCUUUUUUUUUCCUUUUUAUUUUAUUUUUUGAAAAAUUAAUCUCGUGAUUUCUCCCUAGCCCCUUAGGCUUUUGGCCACUUGAAUGGAGGAGGAGAGAAUCCCAGCCACCUCAUGGUCUUUCCAUGGUUUUCUUUUGGAGAUUUGCUCCUCUACUUUGGUCAAGAUUCUCCUCAGCUUGUGUUUCCUUCCGCUUCAACAAGGUCACUGCGUUUGGUGGAGUGUCAUCGCCAGUAAGCCUUGAUGGCUUGUGCAUGGUGAUGUCAGUUUGGUUGCACUAAACUUUUGCUGUUUGGUUAAUGAUGUCACUCCAAAAGAUUUGAAUCUCCCUAUGUCAGUGACUUUCGAUGAUGUCCAUGGUGGCGGCAGUGAUCAUUCUCCAAGUCGUUGUUCCGGUUUUGACUCCCCCUUGGUGGUGGGUCCGUUAGUUGAGAGUACGACUUCCCCGCUUGAUUGGGCUUUUCUAGCCACGCCUCCUCCCUCCCUUUCUGUUGGGCUGCUUUGGGAUAGGGUUGGGCCUGGUCCCCUUGUCUUUAAUGUAUUAUCUUUCUAGGCUUUGGCCCUUUUGUUCUUAC